rnacentral:rRNA from 1 species
UCUACUCAGUAGUGGAGCACUCGGCUCGUGCAUUGAUUUAAAACACAGUCCACUGCGAGAACUGGUGUGACUUGCAGGAUACAUUUGAUCAUCGAUACGUUGAACACACAUUGUACAUGUGUGCAUACCUCUUAGUGCAU